AGAAUCAACGCUGGCGGCGUGCCUAACACAUGCAAGUCGAACGAGAAAGUGGAGCAAUCCAUGAGUAAAGUGGCGACCGGGUGAGUAACACGUGACUAACCUACCUUCGAGUGGGGGAUAACCUCGGGAAACUGAGGCUAAUACCGCAUAACAUCGCAAGAUCAAAGCAGCAAUGCGCUGGAAGAGGGGGUCGCGGCUGAUUAGCUAGUUGGCGGGUAACGGCCCACCAAGGCGAAGAUCGGUA
rnacentral:rRNA from 1 species